rnacentral:lncRNA from 1 species
GAGCCAUAAAUAGCUGUGCGUGUAGCGCUGAGCAGUAAACAAGCGUAAACACAGGAAACGCACAGAGCGACCAUCGAGAGCUCAGCGUUUCCUGGUAGCAACUCAAAGUGCUGCUCAUCCUCAGCGAUGACCUUCAUAGCCUGAAACCUCCAUUGAGGUUCUCUGCUCGUUUCUGAAAGUACUCUGAAAAUGAGGAAGGAAACAGGCAGCAAUGAUACGCUUCAUCAAGGGGGAUGGCACUUCCGCACCCAUUUUUCUCUAGCCUCCUCUCGCGUUGGACUACCUUGCUUAUUGGUUGCGAGUGCUUCUCCUACAAAACCCAUCCACGCCUCUAAGGUGAGGGCCCGAGAAGGUGGGGUGGGGGAGGGGCCGACUUGAAGAAGACCUCUCUGCGGUCUCUCCCGGGACUAUGAGAAAUACGGGAGAGGGGGAACACAGGCGCUCUUUGUUCGCACUCGAUGGGGACCGAUGAAUGGAGGCUUCCCGCUUGAUGUGAGCUCCCAGAUGCUUGACCUUCAAGCUCUAGGUCAUCCCAGGCCCUUUCCGCUGUCCCACACCUCUCUUUCGGUUAGCUCCCAGUUGUACGGCCAAAGGCUGAGCGACAGCUCAUAUUGGCUGUCAAAGGAACUCAAAGUGAGGGUUAAAUGGGCAAUUCAGGGCGAGACAGUUGCUUUAUUAAGUAAUCCAAAUAACCACCCAAACAAAUUCCACCCCCCAAAUAACCAAGGUACGCGUCCAUGUCCUUCCCUCUCCGAAAACGCUCCACUUUUAUUAUAUUAUAAAGACCCGCACUGCCGAAGGGUGCUCCCUUCCAGCAGGAGCUACUAUUCAUUGUCAAUAGUUGAUGGGAACAAGAAUUGCGGGGAUAUGUAAAAUAGUCGUCCGACUGCAGAGGGGACUGCGAGGGCCCAUAAGGUGGUGAGCACAUGUUCGUUGGUGUAAAAGGCAGGCUUGAGGUGCAGGUAUUUAAGAAAGGUUCAUUGGACCAAGAGCAGUCUUUACUUUGUACUUCUUAACACCGCUCACUGUGCGCUGGUGUUGUAAUAAACGUUCGUGACGG